AGUGGGGAAUAUUGGAUAAUGGGGGGAACCCUGAUCCAGCCAUGCCGCGUGUGUGAAGAAGGCCUUUUGGUUGUAAAGCACUUUAAGUGGGGAGGAGGCUCUCUUGGUUAAUACCUAAGAAGAGUGGACGUUACCCACAGAAUAAGCACCGGCUAACUCUGUGCCAGCAGCCGCGGUAAUACAGAGGGUGCGAGCGUUAAUCGGAUUUACUGGGCGUAAAGCGCGCGUAGGUGGUUAAUUAAGUCAAAUGUGAAAUCCCCGAGCUUAACUUGGGAAUUGCAUUUGAUACUGGUUAGCUAGAGUAUGGGAGAGGAUGGUAGAAUUCCAGGUGUAGCGGUGAAAUGCGUAGAGAUCUGGAGGAAUACCGAUGGCGAAGGCAGCCAUCUGGCCUAAUACUGACACUGAGGUGCGAAAGCAUGGGGAGCAAA
rnacentral:rRNA from 1 species